UCAAGUCCUUGAGUGGCAAGGAAAAGAGGGAAUGAAGACAAAUAGUCAUCCUGCAGUUGCAAUUAUUGAGGUUGUCAGGGAGCAAGAACAAUAACACUAGUUGUAUUGGAGCCGCCUUGAUGAGAGAACUGAUGUGAACAACACACACGACGGUCCCGACAACGCUGGCUAACCUCACUAAGUCAGUGGAAAUGUUGCUAAGCUAGCCCGCGACACCGUCAGUGGCUGUCUGAUCGCUCCGCCGUCGCCAUGUGACCGCGGUGUGUGUCAUCUAUCCGGGUGUAAGCAGAGAUUAUUACUGCUGUGAUGAGACAAAGGCUCCGGUUUCUCUCUGAAGGUUUGCGCUGCUCUUCGGAUGAUGACAUCCUUCCCAGCAGCCCCCUGAUUCAUCAUAAACUUACUGUAUGUUAGUCAUUACUCGCUCAUCCUUGACCUCAUUUGCUGCAGUUGCAUCAUUAAUUUAUUCUCAAUGACAGCACUGCAGCAGCGAUCUUUCUCACAUACUGCAAGAACAUUUCACAUGUGGCCUACUGUAGUAAUACGUGAACACACACAUUGAGCUCAUAUCCAGAAUAUUUGGUUUUUUUUAUUCUCAAAUUUACAAACCCAUUCUGCUCUCUUGUAGCUGACAUUUUAGAAAUGGUUUUAUAAAUUCACUUGUAACAACAGGUGUACUGAUGGGUGACAAAUUAAAGUAAAAGCUGACAUAAAUUUAGAAUUUAAAGUUAGGAGACCACUUCAUUCUUCCAAAAUAUAUUUCCUCACCUUGUGAUUUAAUGAUUUCAGCAGGGGGGGAGAACUGGGCCUGCUCAGCAUUGUUAUGCCUGUAAUAGAGCUAAAUGGGAUGUUCAUUGCUGAAUUGUACUGAAGAAUCUACAUUCAUUCUCAUUCAAGUUUUCCUUUAUUGUCAUCUUUCUGUGUAGUGUGUGCACUGAACUGCUGUGUUGUGUCAAUAAUCACAGUAUAGAGAAUCAAAUGGGUCACUGCUCUAAUGAAAGAUGCUAUUGAGUUGCAUUAUGGGAAAUGUAGGAUGUAGUAUUUUUGGAUUUUAACUUACACUUCACAAUAAUAAUAAUUAAUAAAUAAAUCACAAUAUUUAUUUUAA